GAUGAACGCUGGCGGCGUGCCUAAUACAUGCAAGUCGAGCGAACGGACGAUAAGCUUUCUCCCCUGAGGUUAGCGGCUGACGGGCGAGUAACACGUGGAUAACCUACUUAUAUUACUGGGGUAAUUUCGUGAAACCGGAGCUAAUACCGGAUAAUAUGUUCAACCGCAUGGUUCAAAAGUGAAAGACGGUUUUGCUGUCACUUUUAGAUGGAUCCGCGCCGCAUUAGCUAGUUGGUAAGGUAACGGCUAACCAAGGCAACGAUCCGUAGCUGACCUGAGAGGGUGAUCGGCCACACUGGAACUGAGACACGGUCCAGACUCCUACGGGAGGCAGCAGUAGGGAAUCUUGCGCAAUGGGCGAAAGCCUGACGGAGCAACGCCGCGUGAGUGAUGAAGGUCUUCGGAUCGUAAAGCUCUGUUAUUAGGGAAGAACAGAUGUGUAAGUAACUGUGCACGUCUUGACGGUACCUAAUCAGAAAGCCACGGCUAACUACGUG
rnacentral:rRNA from 1 species